rnacentral:tRNA from 2 species
GGCUGUGUAGCCGAAUUGGCAUAGGCGAUGCACUCAAAAUGCAUGUCAUCUGUGGGUUCGAGUCCCACCACAGCUACCA